GGAAAAAGUGAUUUGUUGACCUUGACGGCUGCAUUGAAUAUUUUCCUUAUCACCACCAUGGUACCAGGCCACACAGCAUCAGCACCACGUGGAGCACCCCACCUGUUGAAACUCUGGGGUUGGGGCGCAGCAGCAUUUUAACAAGGCCUCCAGGUGAUCCCAAUGUGUGGCACUAAGCCAAAAAGUGGGCUGCACUGGGAGAGAAGCCAGCGUGGGGCCUGACUUCACAGAGGUAACAGGAAAAGGCAUUCAACAGAUCAUUACCCAGGACUAACCUAUAAGGACAUGGAUAAGAAAACAGAUGUGGAUUUUCGAUGCCUCCAAGUUUACAUGAACUCUUGGGCCAGCAGUGAAGGAUAAGGAAGGCCCAUCCCAAGGCCAUCAAGGGCGAAGAAUAACACCAGGACUUUGCAACCCCUCUCACUCCCCUGCUUUUAAAACACAAACCUCCCAAUCUCCUUCCUGCAGUGAGGGGAGAUGGGGUGCAGGCUUUUCUUGGCUGGUUUCCAGUUGGGCAGCUGGAAUCUAUUGGACACAUUCAAACAGUCCCUCUUUCCUGAGAUGGUUUAGCUGGGUAAAUACUGCAUUUCCUUCAAGAAGGCUUUUUCCUCUCUGGAGCCUCUUCCUUCAAGGUUGAGAGGUGCCCCCUCCAGGGCCACCCUUUCCCUCUCCAUGCUGGCUGUUUCUUGCCCAUGCUGAGUUUUCUCAAGGUUUGAGAAGCUGUAUGAGUCCAAGGAAUUUUAAGGGACUCUCCACCCCAUAUCCUAUCAAACAUACUAGAGAGCCCUUAUGUCUCAUGGGUUCAACAUUUGGCCAGUUUGAACAAAUUAUCUGUUUUGUCUGUAAAGAAUGAUAAAUUAGACUUAAAAUUCUGCUUUUGAAAUGAUUCGCCUACAAGGAAUAUAUCCAAUUUAUGACUGGCCAUGAUUUCUCAAUAAUCAUUAUGCAGACUAGAAACCUUCACAAAGUCAGAAAAGCAAGGCUUAUUGUUUUUAAACCAUCAUGAAUUUUUCAUGAAUUCCUACUUUAACUUUUCAUCAAGUUUAGCAUGAUAUUUUCAUAAGCAUUUAAUCAUACCUACACUAAUCUCAGUUUUUGCAGUUUUCUUUUCCUACUCUGGUGUUCUCUACACUUUAUUUCAGAAGAGUCUUAAGUGUUUAUGUAAGCUCUUGAAGGUUUUUUAAUGACUAAAAUGGCCCUGAAUGACGAGAAGGAGGCUGGUGAGAACUGGGGCAAAGACUGGAUGCUGCUGGGGGGAACCAUUUACCAGCAUGUGGAUCUUUGGGGCAUUUGCUUAGCUUUCAGUUGCAUCCAAGAAUCUGGUUGCCCUGGUGCUGGGGAAUCUCAAGCUGCAUAGAGAAAACUAGGGAGAAUCAUCAGGUGCAGGCACUUUGUUCCAAUUGACUAAAUUCUAAUUACAGAAAGUGUGGUGAGCAGGGCCAGGGGAGUGCAGCCAGGCUGGACUGAAGAGAACCACAGAGAGAGGGCAUGAGACAGUGUGGCAGGGGGUUGGGGACCUGGGGACUGGGACAGGUGUGUGAAGGCCCUGAACACGGGGGUUAGUCCUAUGAGCAUAGGGGUCCAAUGGCCUUUUGAUCCUGACUUCUUUUUUCACCAUGUGACCCUGGGCAAGUAAUUUCACUUUCAGGGCCUUGAUUUUGUCUGUGGGAUAGGAUAAUUAUAAGACUUGCCUCCUGGGGCUGUUGUCAGGAUUAAAUGAGAUACUGCAUACAGAACUCAGCAUGGUGCUUGGUGUA